GGAGGAGUAGCUCAGUUGGUAGAGCGGCAGAUUGAAGAUCUGCGCGUCGGGGGUUCAAGUCCCUUUUCCUCCA
rnacentral:tRNA from 1 species